GACAAAAUAGAUACAGUACCUUGUAUAAGUUCAGGAAUAUGGCCUGAACGUUUCUACCAGCUACCGGAAAUAGCUAGUCUACAGGGAGGAAUAUAUGAUUA
rnacentral:ncRNA from 1 species